rnacentral:rRNA from 1 species
GGAAACAGGUUAAUAUUCCUGUACUUGGUGUUACUGCGAAGGGGGGACGGAGAAGGCUAUGUUAGCCGGGCGACGGUUGUCCCGGUUUAAGCAUGUAGGCGGAGGUUCCAGGUAAAUCCGGUACCUUUUAACGCUGAGGUGUGAUGACGAGGCACUACGGUGCUGAAGUAACAAAUGCCCUGCUUCCAGGAAAAGCCUCUAAGCAUCAGGUAACAUCAAAUCGUACCCCAAACCGACACAGGUGGUCAGGUAGA